AGUGAACGCUGGCGGUAGGCCUAACACAUGCAAGUCGAACGGCAGCACAGUAAGAGCUUGCUCUUACGGGUGGCGAGUGGCGGACGGGUGAGGAAUACAUCGGAAUCUACUUUUUCGUGGGGGAUAACGUAGGGAAACUUACGCUAAUACCGCAUACGACCUACGGGUGAAAGCAGGGGAUCUUCGGACCUUGCGCGAUUGAAUGAGCCGAUGUCGGAUUAGCUAGUUGGCGGGGUAAAGGCCCACCAAGGCGACGAUCCGUAGCUGGUCUGAGAGGAUGAUCAGCCACACUGGAACUAAGACACGGUCCAGACUCCUACGGGAGGCAGCAGUGGGGAAUAUUGGACAAUGGGCGCAAGCCUGAUCCAGCCAUACCGCGUGGGUGAAGAAGGCCUUCGGGUUGUAAAGCCCUUUUGUUGGGAAAGAAAAGCAGCAGGUUAAUACCCCGCUGUUCUGACGGUACCCAAAGAAUAGGCACCGGCUAACUUCGUG
rnacentral:rRNA from 1 species